CUAGUUAGUACUUGGAUGGGAGACCAUUGGGAAUGCCAG
rnacentral:rRNA from 1 species